CGAACAUCAUGUGCUAGGAAACUAGUGCAUGAGGGCCUAAUCGAGUCAAAUAGCUCGAAAUCACAGAAAAAAAAUUGAUGUCCUUACCAACCUCCUUUUUCAGCUUGUCCAUCCCAAUUGGCAUAUAUUAAGUAUCCAUUCGAACUACUGCAACUGCAUCGCACUCCACCAAAACCAACCAUGAAGCUCUCAUUAAACUAAGCUAACAAUAGUCCCUAGCAUGAACUUCCAAGAUCACCAUAUGAAACAGCUCUAAUGAUUUUAUAAUCGAUUGCCUCAUCCAACCACCCUUAACAUCACCCUCUUUUUAGUCCCACACUCCAUAAAGAUGGUGGGAGAUGGAAAGUAUUAAUCAUCCAAAUGAGCCUUGAUGAAUGGGAGGCAUGAAAACAUGCAUUUGUGAUUGGCUUGGUGUAGGAUAUAAUUUCUUGAGACUAGGAAGAAUGACCUCAACCAACAUAGAGAGCCUGAGAUGGAUGCAAAGAAUCUGGUGCUAGAAAAGGGUCCAAGGAUUGGUCCCUCCCCACUAAACAAAGCCCCCACAAUAUCUUCCUAAAGACCUCACCCAUAUUAUAUAUUUCUUUAUUCCUCUUCAGAAACUUUUCCUCCAAUUCACCAAGGGCUGUUGGCUGAACUUCACCAUACUGUCCCCUUAGCAUCUCUCUCUCUCUCUCUCUCUCUCACUCUCUCUCUCUCUCUCAUGUAAAGGAGCUAUUUUUGGAGGUUUUGGUCCAUAAAGGAGCUAACUUGAAGUUUUUUAUUCGUCAUGGCAACAUAAGCCCUCGUUUCUUGCUGUGGAGAUUUGCUCUGAACACCGUUCUCGAUCUUUUUCCUCUGCUGUCCCGGUUUGUUUUUUGAUAUCAAAAUCGCUGCUUGCCGACAUGGUUUUGCUUAAAUUUGUCGCCUUUGGCGUUGCCCAUCUCUUACUCCUGGUGGGUGCUUCAGCUCUGUCCUUUUCUAGGUUUUCUGGGUUCUGUGCUUCACCUGAUAUGAGUUUUCUUGGAGUGGAGGAAGGUGCAGAGGUGGCUGUGAGGGUUUGUUGAGUUAUUCGAUCCUGGAUACGAGAAGCUUUUGUUGAGUUAUUCGAUGUUGGAUUUAUGUUGAGUGAGAGGGGAGCAGUAGGAUGGGGCGAUGGCGAGAGACUCUUCGCCCAUGGGUUCUCCUAGUCGUGGUUGUUCUUCUGGCCGUCCAUGGAUCUCACGGUCCAAUUUCAAAUUUUGUACAGAAACUAUCAAAAUCAUCACAUGUACAUCCAUGGGCUCGCAGAAGACUGCUAACAACAACAUCUGGGCCUCCACCAAAUGACACGGAUUUGAAGCUCGAGCCCUCAGGCAUGCUGGCUCCAUCCAUUCUUCCACCACUUGAACCACCAAAGCUGGCUGUUCCUCCUAAAUCAAUUGCUUCUCCUGUCAUACAAGGGAAUGGAUAUGGCAUGCGUACUGCUGCACCCCCAAAGGAAUUGUCCAGUCAUUCAACACAAGCAAAUUAUUCUCAUCCCAAAGGGCCUGCUGUUUCUCUGGCACCCACCACUUCUUUUGUCAACCAUGGGAGACCACCAAGGCAUAUAUCUAGCCCUUUAUCCCCCACAGCUUAUUCACACACAAAAGGCUCUUUUCCUGUUAUAAGCCCGGCACCACAUGAGGCUGAUGUUCCCUCAAAUACAGUAAAUGCUCCUUCCAAUUCACAUCCCCAACCUCCAAUGGAAAGGAUACUUCAUGGGCAUGCACCAGUACCUGGAGUUUCAUUUCGCCAGCCAACAGCUAGGAAAAGAAUUGGAAUCCCUGCAUCUGCUCCUUCUGCAGAAUUCCACAAUCCAGCUCCUUCGCAUCCUCCAGCUGCACUUCCAAAGCAUAGUAGAGGGCAUCGUGCUCUGCCACCUUUUAUUCGAGGGCCUGUUCAAUCUCCUGUGCUUUCUCCUUCUGGUUUUGCCGCAGGAAAGCCAAGAGCACCACAGCCUCAACCUUUCCAUUCAUUACCGCCUCCACCACCUAAUCUAGACUGUUCUAUGCCAUUAUCUUGCACAGAGCCUUUAACAAAUAGCGCUCCAGGAUCACCAUGUGCUUGUGUGAUGCCAAUAAGAGUUGGACUUCGUCUAAGCAUUGCACUAUACACAUUCUUCCCUUUAGUCUCUGAGCUUGCCCAAGAAAUUGCAUAUGGGGUUUUCAUGAAACAAAGUCUGGUCCAUAUCAUGGGAGCAAAUGCUGCCAGUGAGGAUAAUGACAAAACUAUUGUACUUAUUGAUCUGGUGCCACUUGGAGACAAAUUCGACAACACCACAGCAUUUUUAGUUUAUGAGAAGUUCGGGCACAAGCAGGUUUUCAUAAACCCCUCAUUUUUUGGGGAUUAUGAUGUAUUAUAUGUUCUCUAUCCAGGGCUUCCUCCACCAUCUACGGCACCUGGAAAUGUUUAUGGCGGUGACAAUAACUCAAGGACAAAACAUCCUCUUGGGGUUGAUUUGAGAAAGCAAAAAGAAAAACAAAGUGGCACUGUAAUAGCUAUCAUAGUUCUUUCAGCUGUUAUAGCAUUGGUAUUAUGUGUUGGAGUUGUGUGCGUUUUCUUGUUGAAACAUAGACAAAUUUCUCAUUUGCCAAAACCAACCCCACAGAUAUCGCUACCUUCAUUUGCAAAGGCAUCAGUUACAGGGAGUAGACGUACAAUAUCUGGAAGUAGGCCAAGUUCUGCCUCAGCAUCCUUCAACCCUAGUGUUGCAACAUGCACCGGAUCAGCAAAAUCAUUCAGCCUAGCCGAGGUGGAAAGAGCUACGAACAAAUUUAAUGAUUCAAGAAUUAUUGGUGAAGGUGGUUUUGGACGUGUAUAUGAAGGCACUCUUGAGGAUGGAAGAAGAGUGGCCAUUAAGGUGCUCAAGAGAGAUGAUCAGCAGGGUAGCCGGGAAUUCUUGGCCGAGGUUGAGAUGCUGAGCCGCUUGCAUCACAGAAACUUGGUAAAGUUGAUUGGUAUAUGCACAGAGGAGCAUUUCCGCUGUCUGGUCUAUGAACUCAUUCCAAAUGGCAGUGUGGAAUCUCAUCUAUAUGGAGCGGAUAAGGAAAUUGCUCCACUUGAUUGGAAUGCUAGGCUGAAGAUUGCGCUUGGUGCUGCUCGAGGUCUAGCAUAUCUGCAUGAAGAUUCAAGCCCUCGUGUCAUACAUCGUGAUUUCAAAGCCAGUAACAUCUUGUUGGAACAUGACUUCACUCCCAAAGUGUCUGAUUUUGGCCUAGCCAGAACAGCUCUGGAUGAGGAAAACGAGCACAUUUCAACACGUGUUAUGGGAACUUUUGGUUAUGUAGCCCCAGAAUAUGCAAUGACGGGGCAUCUUCUUGUCAAGAGCGAUGUUUACAGCUAUGGUGUUGUCCUCCUUGAGCUCCUAAUGGGAAGGAAACCAGUUGACAUGUUGCGGCCUCCAGGACAAGAAAAUCUGGUGACAUGGGCUCGUCCGCAUCUUACUAGCAAGGAUGGAUUAGAGAAUAUCAUAGAUCCGUCUCUUGGCACCAGUCCAUUUGGCAGCGUGGCAAAAGUUGCAGCCAUUGCUUCAAUGUGUGUUCAGCCCGAAGUUAAUCAGCGUCCAUUUAUGGGCGAGGUUGUUCAAGCCUUAACACUAGUCUGCAACGAUGGUGAUGAGUGUAGAGGAUCAGGAAGCUGCAGCCAGGAGGAGAUAUCUAUGCGGGGUAUGGAAAUAAGGAUCAGUACAGGGAUGGAUCUGGAAUCGGAGAGGGUGAUAUUGGCAUCUGAUAUAUUCAACACAUUAGCAAGGUUUACAAGGAAUGUUUCUGGAUCUUUCCAAAGGUAUUCAAGCUCAGGCCCUCUCAGAAUAGGUAGGAAUGGGCAGUUUUGGCAUAGAGUGAGAGGCUUCUCAUCAGGAAGUGCAAGCGAGCUUGGGAGAUUCGGCACUGGUUUUGUGAGUAGUGAUCAGUGGGUGUAGGAAUACUCGGUUCCCUUUCAUCACUGCUGAAGAUCAGAUCCAUCAACAGAACUAUCCUGGCAGCUGACCAUGCUCUAGGAUGAGUAGGGUUCAGAAGGCCCUUGUUCAUCAAAGGGAAGCAGUAAUCCCUAAGAAACUGGAGAAGUUCGUGGUGGGGGUUGGAUAAAGAUGGGAAAAUUUUGCAGCUUAUCCUCUUGAAGGAUAAACAUGACUGAAACAAGAAGCAUUAUUCUUUUGGGCACAAAUAGAAAUCUGACUAAUGAAGCUGCUAUGUUCAAAGAAGCUUCCUUGUUAUUCUGAUUAAGAAAAUCAGGAGGAUUCAACUAGUAUUCUUUUGCCCAAUGGCAAUGUACAUUAUUGAUGCAGUUCUGUUUCUCCAGACUGGAAUACUGAAUCUUGGCUUAUGAGGAUCAUUCUGUAGUUGGAAUUGGAAUAAAGACUGCUACUCCAAUUAACUGUUUUUGACUCUAAUUCCAAUACUCGUAAUGCCAUGCUCUCUGCCGCUGCCGCCGCUCCUGCCGCUGCGAAUUGCUUUCAUCUUUUCUUGAGUUGCAGUCUUGAAGAGACAGCUUAGCUGGAAAGGAUUUAAUAAUUGCAUUCACCAACAUUGAGGCUGCUUAGAUGGCCCCUAUGGUUAAAGCAUGAUCCCCACCAGAAACCUAUUUUUUCCUCUCCCCUCUUCUGUGUCUGCAGAGUGCAAGACUUGCUAUUAUGUGAGCCUGUAUUCUAUGAUGAGACCUGAGAGUUGUUCUAGCUGGGGUCGUCCUGGACAAGCUUGGCUUUAUCUGGUUCUAGCUGGGGUUGUCCUGUCCAAAUCUUCACCACCGAAGCGACCACUAUUUGGUAUGGAGUACUUGGAUGAGUUUUAAAUGUUUUUGAAUGCCACUGCUUGCCAUGUUUUUGCUCAGCUGCUUGUCCAUAGGUUGUCAAUUGCUUGAUUAUUGGCUCAACCUUCAGCGUGGUUUUGCUGCAGAUAACAGUUUUCAAGAAGCGAAUUCAUCUUCCAGGUUCUUAUGUAUUUCUGCAAGGGGUUGUGUACAUAGAAUAAGAUGUUCUACUAACUAAUGGAACCAAAGAGAUACAUGGAUCAGACUUUUAAAAUUUUCUCAAUAUCUUCAUUUUUUUUUGGUCAAAUAUAUAUAUUCAGGCAAAUGUAUUUACAACAUGAUUUCUUCUCUCAUAAAUGAUAGAAAGAGGAAAGAAUCGAGAUUUAAUGUA